GGCCAGCUCCAUCUCAUGGGAUGGUGUCUUUUGCUGGGGAUCUGAAACUUUCCAUGAAGGCUUGAAUGAGUCCCUCGGGGAUUGGACCUUUCAGCAAACAUAUGAUUCUACUAGACAGCACAAUAUACUGUGGAAAUAUUGACAGGCUUGCCACUGCAGCACAGAGACCAAGCUUCACAAAAGGAAACUGUGACCUCAAGCUCACCCUGGAC